UACGGGGGGAGCAAGCGUUGUUCGGAUUUACUGGGCGUAAAGGGCGCGUAGGCGGUCGUGACAAGUCACUUGUGAAAUCCGUCCGGGCUUAACUCGGAACGGUCAAGUGAUACUGUCGGACUAGAGUACAGAAGGGGCAACUGGAAUUCUCGGUGUAGCGGUGAAAUGCGUAGAUAUCGAGAGGAACACCUGCGGCGAAGGCGGGUUGCUGGGCUGAUACUGACGCUGAGGCGCGAAAGCCAGGGGAGCGAACGGG
rnacentral:rRNA from 1 species